UACGGAGGGAGCUAGCGUUGUUCGGAAUUACUGGGCGUAAAGCGCACGUAGGCGGCUUUGUAAGUUAGAGGUGAAAGCCCGGGGCUCAACCCCGGAAUUGCCUUUAAGACUGCAUCGCUUGAAUCCGGGAGAGGUGAGUGGAAUUCCGAGUGUAGAGGUGAAAUUCGUAGAUAUUCGGAAGAACACCAGUGGCGAAGGCGGCUCACUGGACCGGCAUUGACGCUGGAGGUGCGAAAGCGUGGGGAGCAAACAGG
rnacentral:rRNA from 1 species